rnacentral:rRNA from 1 species
CACCAGGCGCGAAACCUCUGCAAUAGGCGAAAGCUUGACAGGGUUACUCUGAGUGAUUUCCGUUAAGGAGAUCUUUUGGCACCUCUAAAAAUGGUGCAGAAUAAGGGGUGGGCAAGUCUGGUGUCAGCCGCCGCGGUAAUACCAGCACCCCGAGUGGUCGGGACGUUUAUUGGGCCUAAAGCAUCCGUAGCCGGUUCUACGAGUCUUCCGUUAAAUCCAACUGCUUAACAGGUGGGCUGCGGAAGAUACUAUAGAGCUAGGAGGCGGGAGAGGCAAGCGGUACUCGAUGGGUAGGGGUAAAAUCCGUUGAUCCAUUGAAGACCACCAGUGGCGAAGGCGGCUUGCCAGAACGCGCUCGACGGUGAGGGAUGAAAGCUGGGGGAGCAAACCGGAUUAGAUACCCGGGUAGUCCCAGCUGUAAACGAUGCAGACUCGGUGAUGAGUUGGCUAUAUGCCAUCUCAGUGCCGCAGGGAAGCCGUUAAGUUUGCCGCCUGGGGAGUACGGUCGCAAGACUGAAACUUAAAGGAAUCGGCGGGGGAGCACAAGGGCAAUUCGCG